AGUGAACGCUGGCGGUAGGCCUAACACAUGCAAGUCGAACGGCAGCACAGUAAGAGCUUGCUCUUACGGGUGGCGAGUGGCGGACGGGUGAGGAAUACAUCGGAAUCUACUUUUUCGUGGGGGAUAACGUAGGGAAACUUACGCUAAUACCGCAUACGACCUACGGGUGAAAGCAGGGGAUCUUCGGACCUUGCGCGAUUGAAUGAGCCGAUGUCGGAUUAGCUAGUUGGCGGGGUAAAGGCCCACCAAGGCGACGAUCCGUAGCUGAUCUGAGAGGAUGAUCAGCCAAACUGGAACCGAGACAAGGUCCAGACUCCUAAGGGAGGGAGCAGUGGGGAAUAUUGGACAAUGGGGGCAAGCCUGAUCCAGCCAUACCGCGUGGGUGAAGAAGGCCUUCGGGUUGUAAAGCCCUUUUGUUGGGAAAGAAAAGCAGCAGGUUAAUACCCCGCUGUUCUGACGGUACCCAAAGAAUAAGCACCGGCUAACUUCGUG
rnacentral:rRNA from 1 species